rnacentral:sRNA from 1 species
GCUGGGCAUGGUGGCUCACACCUGUAAUCCCAAUGGCUUGGGUGGCUGAGGCAGGAGAAUCAAAGAGAGUUCAAAGCCAACCUCACUCAGUAACUUAGUGAGGCCCUGAACAAUUCGGUGAGACCCAGUCUCUA